GCCUCUCUGUGUUCAAACCUCUCACUAGUAAUUGUAAGCUCAUCUUUCCCAGGAUGAUAGCGUUUGCCAACCAACUCCUUCAGUCGACGAAACUGGUACUUUGAUAAACCAAGCUCCUUCACAGUAACAGAUAAUUUUACUUUUCGGUUUUUGGGAUGCCAUGCAUCCCCACCUGGUGCAAACACAACCCUUGUUUGCCACCUAAG
rnacentral:misc_RNA from 1 species